ACAACAGGCACUCGAGAGAAGCUUGCGAGUGAAUGAAUGGACAAAUGGAACAGGUGGCCGGCCACACCUUCCCCACCGUGGCCGUAAAUAAUGGGCUUCGUGCAUGGAUGCUCAGGAACUUGCUCUCACAUAUGUGUUCUUCCACUCUCCUGCAUGCGUUUUUUAAACUCCUACUAUGCACCAGCCCCUCUGCUAGAAGCAGUGGGGAGAGGACGGGGUGUGGUCCCUCAUACAGUAUGCACACAGGCAGGUGAGGACAUGCCCUGCAACACCACCAGCCAGUUAACCAGUCACAGCUGCAGCGAGUCCACGAAGGGUCAGAUGACCCUUGUGGGAACUGGAGACCACGGACUGGCAUUUGGCAAAGAAAGGGGCCUGCAGAGGAUGCUUUCCUGAAAUUCAACAACAAUAAAAGAGAAAAAUGGACCGGCUGGCUCCAGACAACCACUGCCAGACAGUGCCAAGCACAGCGCCAGUGUUUAGUGGGAACUUGGGGAGAUGCUGGUUGAAUUGCACAGACCUUGAAACAGAAAUUGAACACGCCCUCAAAGUUUGCAUCUGAGC